rnacentral:tRNA from 1 species
UCCCUGGUGGUCCAGUGGUUAGGACUCUGCGCUUCCACUGCAGGGGUGUGGGUUCCAUCCCUGUUGGGGAA